rnacentral:rRNA from 1 species
CUGGGUUUGACAUGGAUCGGGAGUGCUCAGAGAUGGGUGUGCCUCUUUUGGGGUCGGUUCACAGGUGGUGCAUGGCUGUCGUCAGCUCGUGUCGUGAGAUGUUGGGUUAAGUCCCGCAACGAGCGCAACCCUUGUUCACUGUUGCCAGCACGUUAUGGUGGGGACUCAGUGGAGACCGCCGGGGUCAACUCGGAGGAAGGUGGGGAUGACGUCAAGUCAUCAUGGCCUUUAUGGCCAGGGCUACACACGUGCUACAAUGGUAGAUACAGAGGGAAGCCAACGCGCGAGCGGGAGCCAAUCCCAGAAAAUCUAUCGUAGUCCGGAUCGGAGUCUGCAACUCGACUCCGUGAAGUCGGAAUCGCUAGUAAUCGCAGAUCAGCAACGCUACGGUGAAUACGUUCCC